rnacentral:rRNA from 2 species
GGGUUGUGAGGUUAAGCGACUAAGCGUACACGGUGGAUGCCCUGGCAGUCAGAGGCGAUGAAGGGCGUGCUAAUCUGCGAUAAGCGCCGGUAAGGUGAUAUGAACCGUUAUAACCGGCGAUACCCGAAUGGGGAAACCCAGUGUGAUUCGUCACACUAUCAUUAACUGAAUCCAUAGGUUAAUGAGGCGAACCGGGGGAACUGAAACAUCUAAGUACCCCGAGGAAAAGAAAUCAACCGAGAUUCCCCCAGUAGCGGCGAGCGAACGGGGAGGAGCCCAGAGCCUGAAUCAGCAUGUGUGUUAGUGGAAGCGUCUGGAAAGGUGCGCGAUACAGGGUGACAGC